GAUGAACGCUAGCUACAGGCUUAACACAUGCAAGUCGAGGGGAAACGACAUCGAAAGCUUGCUUUUGAUGGGCGUCGACCGGCGCACGGGUGAGUAACGCGUAUCCAACCUGCCCAUCACUUGGGAAUAACCUUGCGAAAGUAAGACUAAUACCCAAUGAUAUCCAUAGAAGACAUCUGAAAUGGAUUAAAGAUUUAUCGGUGAUGGAUGGGGAUGCGUCUGAUUAGCUUGUUGGCGGGGUAACGGCCCACCAAGGCGACGAUCAGUAGGGGUUCUGAGAGGAAGGUCCCCCCACAUUGGAACUGAGACACGGUCCAAACUCCUACGGGAGGCAGCAGUGAGGAAUAUUGGUCAAUGGGCAGAGCCUGAACCAGCCAAGUAGCGUGCAGGAAGAC
rnacentral:rRNA from 1 species